AGGUUAAUGCCCAGAUCCCUCAACAGAGGCCCCAGAGUGGGAACACAGCCAAAAUUGUGCCAGAGGGCCACCAGACCUGGUGCAGCCCCAGUCCAGAGUCCCCCCACAGCACACAGGCACACUACCUCUUAUUAUCCAGCUCCUCCAGAGAAAUCCAAAAUGGCCACCGCAUCUCCUGGGCGCCUGUCUCUCUGCUGUCCCCCACUGCCAGAUGCCUCCUCUGCCUGCUGCCCACGGGGGGUGACCACUGGGGGUCUGGAGAAGUCAGCCGCUGGUGCCUGCGUCCUGGGGGAGGUCCGCGCCGAUUCCCGGAGCUCCAAUCGCGGGUGUGGAAAGUACGCGAGGCCCUGGCUUCUGGAGGUGCGUAGGCCGCAACCUGCGGGAACAGAGAGAACUGCUUCCCGGCUCUGCGGCAAACUCUACUGGGCACAGUAUCCCCAUGGCAACGUGUGUGCACUUCCUGUGUUUACCCUGCAGCGACCGCGCCGCCCGCCCACGGAAGGACGUCACUCCGGAGGGGCGGGGAGAUCCGAACCCGGAAGUGUAGUCGCCGUGAAGCGGGACGCCGCUGGCCACGGCGGGCCAGGGGAAGAAAAGAAUGUCAAGUGGUCAAUUAUUUUUCUUCAUGGAAGAGCCGAAAGUAAUUUGUGAACAAUGACAAGAUAAUAUCAAAGAGCUGAACCUACAAAAAGCACUGAAAAGUGGAUCGGUGGUAAAUUGCUGUAGGUCCGUUUUAACGAGCCCUCACUCUAGGAACUGUGCAAUAGCGCUGCGAAAGUUGGGGAAAGAUAACCAGAGACUAUUUUGACCUCACAUAAUUUCAAAUAACUUUUUAUUUGAGGGACAGACAACAACUGUGAACAACGAGGAAACAUAGUACGAUCCACACACAGAAGGGUUGUGAUGUCAUUCCUGUCAACCAUAACAAAGAGAGAAAAGUGCAUUUCAAGCAAACAUGACAAAAGUGAGCACAAUGCUUCUACAAGCUGUUGAUAUAUAGCCUAUUGGAAUGGUGGUCACAAUAGGGGCACAGCUGUGGAAAGUGACUGGCCACACACAGAAUUCUUAACUAUGCUGGGUUUAUUGAUAAACAGCAGCUACAGGAUAUGGGUGGUAUGCAAUUAGCUCCGAUCAUUUUGGAGCUAAUGAGUUCGCCUCACUGAAUAUUCAAUUAGGGCCAUUUUCGUCCAUUUUUAAGGCAAUUUCGCCAAAGCCUUUUCACCUUUUUUUUUUUUAAAGUGAAAAGGCAUUGGCGAUAAAUGCCUCAAAGUCGGUGAAAAUGGCCUACGUUUUCAACGGAAAACACAUGGAUUUGUCAAUCCACGUGUUUUCUGCCCCUGCCACAAAUUUCGCCUAGACGAAAAUCCGGCCCUCUGAUUGCAUAUGGCGAAUUUCCAUUCACCCUAAAAAUAGCAAAAUGCUCCGUUAUUUACGCCUAGCCAAUUGCAUACCCCCCCCCCCCCCCCCAUUUAGGUCCACAGUAGCAACAGAAGCGGAAUCAAACACAGGGUAAUAGCAGGCAGUGGCAUCACUAAGGGGUGACACCAAAAUGCUGGCUCCUGUCACAGUGUAGAAGUCGGCAGAGCAGCCAGACAGUCUACAGGAGCAGGCCAGCAUCUCCGGGAUGACAUGGGGGUUGUGCUACGAGGCCACGCUCCCUUGCCAUGAGGUUAUGCCCGUUUUUGUAAGUGGCAUUUACACUGCACAGGGUGCAUAGAGCAAAGUGAUGCCCUGGAUAGCAGGUAUCUGUGUGCCUCACCUCUAGGAGCUACUGUGACACUCUUACAAAGUAAAGAUGGCAGCAGUCUGUAUGUGUGCAGUAGCACAUCAGGUUGGAGGUCGCGCCUCCUUGCAGACUCUGGGUCCUAGUGCCAAAAAGUGUAUGCAGCAUAGGAGGGAGCACAGAGUGCUGCUCUCCCAAAUACAAGCGACUUAAUCAAACUUGAUCAAACAACUAAACCUGUAGGAAAAAUAUAAUAAAAAAAUAAAUAAAAUUGAUUUUAAAAUAAAUGUUUUGGGCCCUUUAUCUAAUUUAGAAGGUAAACUAAUAGUGUUCUGUUCACCUUUUUUAUUAGUUGUGUUGAUCAGUUUAAAAAAAACAACAACCCAAAGAGAGAAAUAGCAAUAACCAAUUAUCCACUUCAGAAUUAAGCAAUACAGCUCCACUGUCUGCAUCCUUGUCAUAGUAUAGUUCUAUAAUACAUUUACUACCUCUGAUACUGAUGUUUCCAAAAGCCCGACCAACCCAUUCCCAAAGAACACAUUCAUUCCAACCCAAAAACUAUCUAACACACCCAUACAUUUGCCCGUCAAAUAUCACAAACUGUGACAAUUGUAAUUUUUUGUUUCUUAAAUAAAAUAAAAAUCACACAAAUUCACCACUCUCCUAAUAACACUUCAAACUGUAAUUCAUCUGACCUCAGGAAAUGUUAAUUCCAAAAAAUUGCAAUAGUUUGUUAAGCUGACCCUUUAUG